AUUUGCAUAUAACACCUGAUAGUAGUUAUGCAUAUAAUGUUUAAUGUAUGCUAGAGGUUUUCAUACUUCAUCUGGUAAUCAUAAACAUGCCAUCAAGACUACAAGAGAAAAUUGAAAUUUUACUUUGUGAUAAUAGUAAUUUAAGUUCAAGAGAUAUUGCCAGCAAAUUCAAUAAUAAUCAUCCCGAAAGAAAUAUGCCUAUCUCACAUAUGAUAGUAAUAAGAUUGUUAAAAAAAAUUCAAAGAAACUGGGUCUGUUCUGUAGGAAAAAACCGAAACGGCAUAGAGCAAUAAAUGACGGGAUCUCUCAACUAAUAAAACAUAGGCUCGCUUGUUGUCCAAAAAUAUCUUCCCGAACGCUCGCACAAACUCUCAAUAUAAGUCAGUCAAGUACCUUAC
rnacentral:lncRNA from 1 species